AAGGUUACCGCCGAGAGGCCGCGUCCUCAGCUGGUCCUAGACAUGCGUGGCGUCGGGGCUGUGGCACGGUCGGGUCCGGGGACACUUGUUUAACAAGACAUCUGCCCAUGUCCCUGGCCCAUCUCAUUGGCUGCAGCACAUCACAGUGGACCUUCUGCCUCCUCCCAGAUGCCCAGGGACAGUGAUCUGGAAGGAAGGGGCUUGAGGCUGUUUUCCUAGAACUCGACUUGAAUGCACCAAGGAAAGGCCAUUUGUGGGGACAUAGCAAGAAGGCAGCUGUCUGCAAGCCAGGAGGAGAACCCUCACCAGAAACCUCACAGAAAUCGGCCAACACCCUCAUCUCGGGCUUCCAGCUUCAGAACAACGAGAAAACAAAUUUCUGUUGUGUCCUGGUUCCCAUUUGUAAUUGGCACCCUAAUGAAACCGUUUUCUGUAGCCCUGGAAAUGGCUGAAAAUGAGGGGAGGGAAAUAAAGUGCUAUAAUUCAGAGCAUGGAGCACACCUUCCUGGUUCACCUGAGCUGGAUUCGGAGAGGUAAAAUGGCCAUUACCUCGUCUAAGCUGCCACUUACAGACACAGUACAGGAUGAGGCCCAGACCCACAGAGACAACGAUGAUGGCCACAGCUAAGAUGAUCCAGAAAUUAUUCCUCCACCAGCUCAUUGCAGUGGAAUCCUGAGAAGAAUGGAGAGAGAAGAAUGAGAGGGCAAAAGCAGAUGGCUACACCGAGAACUCACGCCAGCCCAACACACUUUGAUCUCGAGGCCUCUGGAAGGGAAGGUGCCUAAUGAACUACUGAAAGCCAGAGAUGCAAUGACAAAGCAGUCGUACCAGGGCCCCAGGCUGCAAUCCCCUGGCCCAGUGCUGAUCGGUGGCUCCCAGGGACACGCCCUGAUGCCAGCGCUGGCAGAUGUCUGCUGUGAAGAGAGCAGGAAACUGUCCCUUGGAAAGCUGAGAUGCUUACCUGAACUGUGAAAGUAUCCAUAUGUGAGCAGCUAAGGAGACAGCAGUGGCUGGAGUGCUGCAGCUCAGGCACAGCUGGGAAGCUCAUGACCCACGGCUGUCCAGAAGCCAGAAUCUUCUCACUGCCCCGUGUCGCUCCCGCAAGGCCUACCAGAGGACCCUCAUGGUGUGGUAGGGGGUCCUGGCAGGGGCCAGGGGCCAGGGUGGAGACUUGGCAGUGGGGGUGGGUUUGGUGUCCCCACAGACGAGUUUGCCGUGAGCAUUCCUGGAUGUGGCAACCUCAGUCUCAAGAAGAGCGACAGGACGCCAGCUCCCAUGCAGAGACAGAUCCAGGUAAGAAACCAGCUCAUGUGUGACAAACUCACCAUCUCACCAUGAAGGUGACUCUUGAAAGCUCCUGUGCACCUUGGAACUGCUGAGACAUCUUCUGCUUGGAGGAGGCAAGGGACAGGCUUCCUGUUUCUAAAGGCGUGUGAGUGGCGACCUUGAGAAAUGUGGCCAGUGGAGCAUUUUGACUGAGUUGGGUCCCCUCGUGCAAUACUGUGAGACAGAACUCCCAGCGAGGCCCACGGCCUCUGACCAUGGGGGUUGGAGUGGGGAAACCAAUUAGCCAUUUUGUUGAAUUGGCUGGUUCUGACUCAAAUGAGCAGUCACAUUAGUAAAAAUAGGCAAACGGAUGUGCAUUGUAUUUGCCCAGAGCGAAUGAGUUGUUAUCCAUUUCAGUAAUAAUGAUAACCAGAUAUGUCUGAUAAAUAUCUGAUAAUGUC
rnacentral:lncRNA from 1 species